rnacentral:rRNA from 1 species
CAGUAGCCUCGGGAAUACGGAGGGUGCAAGCGUUAAUCGGAAUUACUGGGCGUAAAGCGUGCGUAGGCGGUUCGUUAAGUCUGUUGUGAAAGCCCCGGGCCCAACCUGGGAAUGGCAAUGGAUACUGGCGAGCUAGAGUGUGUCAGAGGAUGGUGGAAUUCCCGGUGUAGCGGUGAAAUGCGUAGAGAUCGGGAGGAACAUCAGUGGCGAAGGCGGCCAUCUGGGACAACACUGGCGCUGAGGCACGAAAGCGUGGGGAGCAAACAGGAUUAGAUACCCGCGUAGUCCCUGUCUCUUAUAC